rnacentral:rRNA from 1 species
AGUGAACGCUGGCGGCAGGCCUAACACAUGCAAGUCGAACGGCAGCACAGGGGAGCUUGCUCCCUGGGUGGCGAGUGGCGGACGGGUGAGGAAUACGUCGGAAUCUGCCUUUUUGUGGGGGAUAACGUAGGGAAACUUACGCUAAUACCGCAUACGACCUUCGGGUGAAAGUGGGGGACCGCAAGGCCUCACGCAGAUAGAUGAGCCGACGUCGGAUUAGCUAGUUGGCGGGGUAAGGGCCCACCAAGGCGACGAUCCGUAGCUGGUCUGAGAGGAUGAUCAGCCACACUGGAACUGAGACACGGUCCAGACUCCUACGGGAGGCAGCAGUGGGGAAUAUUGGACAAUGGGCGCAAGCCUGAUCCAGCCAUGCCGCGUGGGUGAAGAAGGCCUUCGGGUUGUAAAGCCCUUUUGUUGGGAAAGAAAACUUUCCGAUUAAUACUCGGAGAGAAUGACGGUACCCAAAGAAUAAGCACCGGCUAACUUCGUGCCAGCAGCCGCAGUAAAAC